UGGGCCUCGUACUAAGGGCGGCAGUGUA
rnacentral:piRNA from 1 species